rnacentral:rRNA from 1 species
AGGUAGCUUGCUACUGAUCUUAGCGGCGGACGGGUGAGUAAUGCUUAGGAAUCUGCCUAUUAGUGGGGGACAACAUUUCGAAAGGAAUGCUAAUACCGCAUACGUCCUACGGGAGAAAGCAGGGGAUCUUCGGACCUUGCGCUAAUAGAUGAGCCUAAGUCGGAUUAGCUAGUUGGUGGGGUAAAGGCCUACCAAGGCGACGAUCUGUAGCGGGUCUGAGAGGAUGAUCCGCCACACUGGGACUGAGACACGGCCCAGAUCCUACGGGAGGCAGCAGUGGGGAAUAUUGGACAAUGGGCGCAAGCCUGAUCCAGCCAUGCCGCGUGUGUGAAGAAGGCCUUAUGGUUGUAAAGCACUUUAAGCGAGGAGGAGGCUACUUUAGUUAAUACCUAGAGAUAGUGGACGUUACUCGCAGAAUAAGCACCGGCUAACUCUGUGCCAGCAGCCGCGGUAAUACAGAGGGUGCAAGCGUUAAUCGGAUUUACUGGGCGUAAAGCGCGCGUAGGCGGCUAAUUAAGUCAAAUGUGAAAUCCCCGAGCUUAACUUGGGAAUUGCAUUCGAUACUGGUUAGCUAGAGUGUGGGAGAGGAUGGUAGAAUUCCAGGUGUAGCGGUGAAAUGCGUAGAGAUCUGGAGGAAUACCGAUGGCGAAGGCAGCCAUCUGGCCUAACACUGACGCUGAGGUGCGAAAGCAUGGGGAGCAAACAGGAUUAGAUACCCUGGUAGUCCAUGCCGUAAACGAUGUCUACUAGCCGUUGGGGCCUUUGAGGCUUUAGUGGCGCAGCUAACGCGAUAAGUAGACCGCCUGGGGAGUACGGUCGCAAGACUAAAACUCAAAUGAAUUGACGGGGGCCCGCACAAGCGGUGGAGCAUGUGGUUUAAUUCGAUGCAACGCGAAGAACCUUACCUGGCCUUGACAUAGUAAGAACUUUCCAGAGAUGGAUUGGUGCCUUCGGGAACUUACAUACAGGUGCUGCAUGGCUGUCGUCAGCUCGUGUCGUGAGAUGUUGGGUUAAGUCCCGCAACGAGCGCAACCCUUUUCCUUAUUUGCCAGCGAGUAAUGUCGGGAACUUUAAGGAUACUGCCAGUGACAAACUGGAGAAGGCGGGGACGACGUCAAGUCAUCAUGGCCCUUACGGCCAGGGCUACACACGUGCUACAAUGGUCGGUACAAAGGGUUGCUACCUAGCGAUAGGAUGCUAAUCUCAAAAAGCCGAUCGUAGUCCGGAUUGGAGUCUGCAACUCGACUCCAUGAAGUCGGAAUCGCUAGUAAUCGCGGAUCAGAAUGCCGCGGUGAAUACGUUCCCGGGCCUUGUACACACCGCCCGUCACACCAUGGGAGUUUGUUGCACCAGAAGUAGCUAGCC